rnacentral:rRNA from 1 species
UCCGUAGGCGGGCAAUUAAGUCAGAGGUGAAAUCCCGCAGCUCAACUGUGGAACUGCCUUUGAUACUGGUUGUCUUGAGUUACAGUGAAGUAGAUAGAAUAUGUAGUGUAGCGGUGAAAUGCAUAGAUAUUACAUAGAAUACCGAUUGCGAAGGCAGUCUACUAACUGUAUACUGACGCUAAUGGACGAAAGCGUGGGGAGCGAACAGGAUUAGAUACCCUGGUAGUCC